UACGUAGGGGGCAAGCGUUAUCCGGAUUUACUGGGUGUAAAGGGAGCGUAGGCGGUGAUGCAAGUCAGAAGUGAAAGCCCGCAGCUCAACUGCGAGACUGCUUUUGAAACUGUAUGACUAGAUUGCAGGAGAGGUAAGUGGAAUUCCUAGUGUAGCGGUGAAAUGCGUAGAUAUUAGGAGGAACACCAGUGGCGAAGGCGGCUUACUGGACUGUAAAUGACGCUGAGGCUCGAAAGCGUGGGGAGCAAACAGG
rnacentral:rRNA from 1 species